UCCUAAUCCCACGCCCCAGAAUCCUAAGGGUCCAAGUUGCUUUAAGGAUUUCAUCACAGCCGUCCAAAUCAUCCAAUGGAAGCCGACAUUUGGCCCUUCUCACCUUUGUCUUGACCGUUCGUGGAAGUUAAAGAGAGAGAAAACAAGAAACAUAAGUCUUUCAAAGACAGAAAAAAGAAAAAAAGAAAAACCUUUUUUUUUUCCCUUUUAGUUUCUAAACAGAGGGGUUCCCACUGAUGUUCCGGAAUCGAGAUUGUGGAAUAUAUAACAUUUGCAGAUCAAAUGCCAUCUCUAAGAAUGAAGGCCAAGUCAAGCACGGGUUCUUUAAGAGAAAAAAAUGGUCUCCGUGUGUGUCAGAAGUCUAGCGUGAUUUGUAAAAGACCAUGCUGUCAUGUCAGAGUUUCCCAACAAGGAGCUGAAUUCAGUUCAUGCAUUCAAAACUCUCAUGAUGAUUCAUCGAAUGUAGACGUGGCCCCUCAAGGUUUUGAAACUGAUGGGGCUGAUGUUCAGCAACUAAUUUUGGAUGAAGAAAAUUCUGAGCUUCAAAAACAGCUCUCAGUUUUUGUCGAUUCUACAACAGUGGGGAGAAUGGAAACUGCCCACGGCUGUGCCUCAAACUUAGAGACAAUAUUCUCUCCUUUUCUGGAGUCAAUCCAAAUAAACAAUCAACCUAAUAUUAACAAUAAUGCAGGGAAUAGUGACGGCCCUGAAGUGUCAGCACUAGGCACUGAUGAUAGUGAUGAUAACAAAAGCUCAUUUGGCAGUCAGACAUGUAACAUAUCAGAUUUCUUUAUAUCUGACAUGAUAAUUGCAAGCAUACCUUUUGAUGGAAAUGCUGUUGAUGAUAACAUCUCUGGAAUCGAUGCAUUUCCUGAUUUCAAGUGUUCUGAGCCAAGCAUGUUGUUUGACGUGGCUGAGCAAUACAUGAUAUUACCUUUCCUCGAGGACACUGUCAAAACCAAUGAAAUAAAUUAUGUUAACUUGCAUGAGGAAGCCGUGAUGGCUCAAGAUAAUACUGGUAUACACCUAGCAAUUGGUCAGAUGAGAUCAUGCGCAGAGGACUCUGAUGUUAACUCUGACUCUGAUAAAGCAGAUGACUUUGACCCACAAUCGUUUAUAAAAAGUUUACCAGAACUAUCUGAUGUAGUUUCAAGUUUCCGGCCUGCUGCAACUGCCAUGGAAGCUCGGAGAAGGAAUCCCAUAACUCUUGUGCUUGAUUUGGAUGAAACUCUUGUCCACUCUACACUUGAACCUUGUGAUGAUGCUGACUUCACCUUUACAGUCUUUUUCAACAUGAAAGAGCACACUGUGUUUGUAAAGCAGAGGCCUCACCUCCAUAAAUUUUUGGAGAAAGUUGCAGAAAUGUUUGAAGUUGUUAUCUUCACUGCAAGUCAAAGCAUUUAUGCAGAACAACUAUUGGACAUACUGGACCCGGAUAGAAAGCUCAUAUCUCGGCGGGUUUAUCGUGAAUCUUGCAUUUUUUCAGAUGGAAGUUACACUAAAGAUUUAACAGUAUUAGGUGUUGAUCUUGCAAAAGUUGCUAUAAUUGAUAAUUCACCACAGGUUUACAGGUUACAAGUGAAUAAUGGGAUUCCUAUUAAGAGUUGGUUUGAUGAUCCAUCCGAUUGUGCACUAAUUUCAUUACUUCCCUUCUUAGAGACUCUGGUUGACAUUGAUGAUGUCCGCCCUGUCAUUGCCAAGAAAUUUGGUAACAAGGAAUAAGAGCACCUUUAUUUCUCUAGCUAGCUUUCAAUAUAGUUCCUUGUCUUUCUAUUUGCUUUUAAAAUUUAGCUUCUAAUUAGAUACCCAAUUCUCAUUUUCUCUUUAAAAUUAACCACAAAAUAAGCUAUCAUUUGUCUUCUUGUCAUGUCUGCCUUUUGUUGCUUGUUUCCUUUUCUUUCUCCCCUUAUUUGACGCCCUGAGGAGUUCUCUUAUCUAAUUUUUGUUUAUCAAAGGUAAUGGUAGAAAAUGUCUCUGUUUAUUUUAUUGUACAGUUCAGGUUUCAAUCAUAUAAGAUUGUAUAUGAAUUAUUUGUGAAAUAUAAUCUUGCAGAUUCCUGUUUGCUUUCUUUUUCUGCUGCUUAGUUAAUUAUCUCGUGUUUAAAAUUUCUCUUUUCCAUCUUUUCAUAUAAAUUCAUUGAAAGGAAUCUUCUAGAAACAACAAUCCUUCCUUCUUAGUAGCCCCUUCUUUUUCCCAAUGUUUGUUGAUGCUGCAAUCACUACAUUUUUUCUGGUCAAAAACAUAGUAGACUUGAGACCCUGUAAGGUCAUAGCUUGAAAUUUUGGAUAAUUAUUUCUUUAAGUUCCAUAGUCUUUAACUUUUCCUAAUUAUACUUACGUUAGUUGACUGAAAACCUCUAAGUAUGUCAAGAAAACUGGUGAGCAUAUAGGUAUUUAAGGCAAUUCAAGAAACAUUGUGAGCAUUUAGGUAUUUGAGGCAAUCCACAUGUGAACCAUAUUGUGGAAGAACAACUAUGUUGACUCAAAAACUUUAAAUAUGUCGAGAGACAUUGUAAGCCUAUAGGUAUUUAAGGCAAUCGUAAUUGAAUUUGUCUGAAGUAAAAGGUUAUACCGACAAAAAUAAGAUCCUACUAUUAUUUUCUACCGAGGAACCUUUAUAGGAUGGUAGGAAGUUGAAAUUAGUUGUAUGUUUUAGUUGAUGUUAUUCUUUGUAUGAAAUCAAUAAAGAUAUGAUAUGCAAACAGGAGAUUAAACAUUAGGGAUUAAGGUUAAGAGGUGAUGAAGGAUUAAAGUAAUUUAGUAGCCCUUAAUGGCUCUGGUUGUGCUUUAUAAAAGUUGAGUGCCCAAUGAGUUAAAACGCUUCUGGUUUAGCUUAUUAACACAAGACCCUGAGAAAAUCAAGUAUUUAGAAAGGAAAAAAUAAAUAUUUGAGGCUGACAUCUUGAGUGUUGAACAGAAAGUUGAAUCAUCUGCUUUGAUUUAUCAUUUAUGUGCAUUAGUUCAUGAACAGAAGUGUUUCCUGUUCUAUUUGGUGGACCAAGAGCUGUCUUCUCAUAUGGUUAAACGAGUAUAAUAUGUCAGCUGCUUGGGCAUACUUAUAUGCUUUGAGAAUUGGAAGAUGAGAUUAGGAGCUUGACACUGCUAAGACUGCUAUGCUUGAAAUAGAGUUAUGGAAAGACGAUAGUAAUAGUGACUCCUUCCUGUUGGAGAGGAGGCGUAGUGAUAAUGCAUCAUAUAAGCUGUUAAAAAUGUUUCCUUGCUCUGAGAAAGUUGGUUACUUCCGAUUAGGGCUUUGUUUUUCCCUGUCAGAUAUCCUCGUCUAACUCAUAGGCAGGCCUAGAUCAAGUAUUCGGAACUUCAUUCAUUAUCAAAGUAUCUACUGCCAAGCCUUGAGUAAAUUAUUUUGUUUCUAGGAAGAUUUAGAUUUUGUGAUACUUGAGAUUUGAGAGGAUUAGUAGAUAUAUAGUAUCCGAUUAGGUGAUUUGCUCAUUUGCAACACUUGGACCUGUGCCAUAAAUUAGAGGUCAAACCGAGUUGUGUACAAGAAUCUAGAUACAAAGAUGUAAGAUAGGAACAGAUAUAGAGCUGGCGACAAUGAGAUAAUAUGUGGUUUUACGGCACAAGAUCUUGUUCAACAGGAGCUACCUCCCUUCAGCUUUGCUUGGAUUAUAGGAAGAUUUGGGAAUGAAAACCAUUUAGCCUUGUGCAAAAUUGGAGAAUCCAAGAGAAAAAAUAUGAUGGGUGUGGGGCUUAUACAAGUCGUUUGAUGAACUAAAUCUAUAUAAGAUUUAUCUGCAAAUGGCAGCUAAUAGGUAUGCAGAAUUCUGUUGCUACUUUUUAACUUCUCUUAUGAAUUUUCUUAAUAUAGCUACUCACCAUGCUGACAUCUUUUUUCCUUUUUCCUUUUUCCUUUUGGAUUUUCGAAGUGACGAUAAGAACAAAAUUGAGUGAUGAUUGUAAAUUUGAGAUGAUAAAAGAUAAUAUUUCGUUUAUACUGUGUCAUGUUUUGUUCCUCCAAUUUAAUUCUGCUUCAUAGGUUGGCACAGUUAUUUGGUAUGCUUUGAUCCCUGUAAAAAAACUUCCACACAACUUUCUAAUUGAAUUUUGUUAUGGACCCAAAUUCCAUUUGA